GGCCACAGGCCUUAACAGUGCUCUUGCUGGUUGUACAUUAGGGUGCUCACUUGUAAACCAGUCAAUGGCACCCAUUCCUAUAGCAAACAUGCACUAUUAUUGUGAUUUCAAAAAACGUGGUAAAGAAAAAGGCAGCCACCAGAGAGAACCCCCAACCCACACUCCAAACUGAAUCAAGGUUGGGCACAUGUUAGGACCUGAGACUCUGUGCCCUGACUCCAGGUGAACAAGAGCAGCGAAGCUAUUGAUCCGGUGCCUCCUCUUGGGUUCAUUUCGAUUCUUUUUGAUGUUCCGAUCCUACAAGCUCAAGGUCUGUGGGAGACGAGUAGGAAAGACGCCUGGGCCUUCUGGGUGAACCCAGGACCACGCGGGCGGGGAGCCGGCUCUGCAACACCCACCGCGGCUGCACGACGGUCCCGGGCAGGAAGGAUACACGGUGAGGACAUAUGGGCAAGGGAAGGCACGUGGAAAGACAGCCAGGCGGGGAAACUGAGGCCACGUCGCCCGCUCCGUCCAGUCUAGGGGCCUGCAGAGACGAUCACGAGUCUCACCUGGUUGCAGAAGACCUCAGGCUGCUGGUUGGGGGCCGGCACGGCGCUGGUGGCGGCGGCGGACAGCAGGCGGGUCAGGCGCGGCCCGCGGAGGGCAGUGGUGAGUGCGGC